CCUACGGAGGGCUGCAGUGGGGAAUAUUGGACAAUGGGGGGAACCCUGAUCCAGCCAUGCCGCGUGUGAGAAGAAGGCCCUCGGGUUGUAAAGCACUUUCAGUGAGGAAGAACGCCUGGUGGUUAAUACCCAUCAGGAAAGACAUCACUCACAGAAGAAGCACCGGCUAACUCCGUGCCAGCAGCCGCGGUAAUACGGAGGGUGCGAGCGUUAAUCGGAAUUACUGGGCGUAAAGCGCGCGUAGGUGGCUUGAUAAGCCGGUUGUGAAAGCCCCGGGCUCAACCUGGGAACGGCAUCCGGAACUGUCAAGCUAGAGUGCAGGAGAGGAAGGUAGAAUUCCCGGUGUAGCGGUGAAAUGCGUAGAGAUCGGGAGGAAUACCAGUGGCGAAGGCGGCCUUCUGGACUGACACUGACACUGAGGUGCGAAAGCGUGGGUAGCAAACAGGAUUAGAUACCCCGGUAGUC
rnacentral:rRNA from 1 species